rnacentral:ribozyme from 1 species
UAGGAAAUUGAAGAAGGAAAAAAAAAAAAAAAAAAAAAAAAAAAAA